rnacentral:rRNA from 1 species
UACGUAGGGUGCGAGCGUUAAUCGGAAUUACUGGGCGUAAAGUGUGCGCAGGCGGCGCCGCAAGUCGAGUGUGAAAGCCCCGGGCUUAACUUGGGAAUUGCGCUCGAAACUAUGGUGCUGGAGUGUGGCAGAGGAAGGUGGAAUUCCACGUGUAGCGGUGAAAUGCGUAGAGAUGAUGGAGGAACACCGAUGGCGAAGGCAGCCUUCUGGGCCAACACUGACGCUCAUGCACGAAAGCGUGGGGAGCAAACAGG